GUGAAUAAUCUCCUGUCCUACUAUCCUAGCACCCAUCUGGGAGCCCAGCCUUUCUCUGAUCAUCUAUCAAGGAAAUAUUGGCAUUUUUUAUUCAAUGUGCAGUGUUUUCUAGGUGACUCAGAUCAGGUUUGUGG